rnacentral:rRNA from 1 species
AAAACAUGGUCUUUUGUUUAUAUAAAAGAUCUGGCCUGCCCAAUGAUGAUUUUAAUGGCUGCAGUAUUUUGACUGUACAAAGGUAGCAUAAUCACUUGUCUUUUAAUUGGAGUCUGGAAUGAAUGGUUGGAUGAAAGAUUUACUUUCUUUAUUUUAAAUAUAAAAUUUAAUUUUUAAAUUAAAAAGUUUAGAUAUUAAUAGAGGACGAGAAGACCCUAUAGAACUUCAUUUAUAAUACGUAUUUAUUAUUUUGUUAAUCAUAAAUAUAUAUUUUUUAUAUAAAUUAUAUUGGGGUGAUAGAAAAAAUUUUUUAACUUUUUCUUAUUUAUUCAUUUAUAUAUGUAUUUUUGAUCCUUUAUUACGGAGUAUAAGAAUAAGUUACCUUAGGGAUAACAGCGUUAUUAUUUUAGAGAGUUCAUAUUGAUAAAAUAGUUUGCGACCUCGAUGUUGGAUUAAAAUUAGCUCCGGGGGUAGAAUAUCGAGAGUUAAGUCUGUUCGACUUUUAAAUUUUUACAUGAUC